ensembl:lncRNA
AUUCCACUGGUGAUGUCAAAGGGCUGACCUCAAGAGUAAUUUAGGGGUGUACAUCCCUAAAAACCAAGAAGACCAUUACAAAGCAAGAGGUGAAUAGACACACAGGCUACCAACGUACAGGAGUGCUUUAAUAUAGAAGAGGAACAAAAUAGGAGAAAGUUUUCUUGGCCUGAAGAAGAUAUCCAGUGAAGAUUAGCAGAGAGGACUGGAGAGGGUAUUCCAAGGGUAGAGGGCAAUAAAACAAAAUGUGGGAAUUAUGUCAAAAUGAACAUAUUUCGAAGAUCGUCUCACUCCAGUGUUUUCCCCCAUGUGGAAGACUAGAGAAAGAGGCCAGUCCCAGGCUUGUCAGUUGGCUUUGGCUACAGCCCUAAACGGGCUUCCCUGGUGGCCCAGCGGUAAAGAAUUCACCUGCAGUGAAGGAGACCCAGGAGACAUGGGUUCAAUCCCUGGGUUGGGAAGAUCCCCUGGAGGAGGAAAUGGCAACCUUGCUGGGAAAAUCCCAUGGACAGAGGACCCUGGUGGGUUACAGUUUACAGGGUCACAAAGACUCAGACGCAACUGCAAUGACUGAACACACACUCCUUAAAGUCAGAGCUCCUGUUCCCUUUCCUAGGAGAAUUAUAGUGUCCUUCAACCGUGAACUUCCAGAUGUUUAAGCUGGUUUUAGAAAAGGCAGAAGAACCAGAGAUCAAAUUGGCAACAUCCUCUGGAUCAUGGAAAAAGCAAGAGAGUUCCAGAAAAACAUCUAUUUCUGCUUUAUUGACUAUGCCAAAGCCUUUGACUGUGUGGAUCACAAUAAACUGUGGAAAAUUCUGAAAGAGAUGGGAAUACCAGACCACCUGACCUGCCUCUUGAGAAACCUAUAUGCAGGUCAGGAAGCAACAGUUUAGAACUGGACAUGGAACAACUGACUGGUUCCAAAUAGGAAAAGGAGUACAUCAAGGCUGUAUAUUGUCA